GACGAACGCUGGCGGCGUGCUUAACACAUGCAAGUCGAACGGAAAGGCCUCUCUCGGGGGGUACUCGAGUGGCGAACGGGUGAGUAACACGUGAGUAAACUGCCCUCGACACUGGGGUAACUUCAGGAGAAUGGGGCGAAUACAGGAUAGGAGCUCCCGCUGCACGGGGGGGGUGGGAGAGAUUCGGCGGGUGGGGAUGGACUCGCGGCGUAUCAGCUUGUUGGUGGGGUAGUGGCUUACCAAGGCUUUGACGGGUAGGCGGCCUGGGAGGGUGAACGGCCACAUUGGGACUGGGAUUCGGCCCAGACUCCUACGGGAGGCAACAGUGGGGAAUAUUGCACAAUGGGUGGAAGCCUGAUGCAGCAACGCCGUGUGCGGGAUGACGGCCUUCGGGUUGUAAACCGCUUUCGCUCAUGACGAAGCUUUGUGUGACGGUAGUGGGUAAAGAAGCACCGGCUAACUACGUG
rnacentral:rRNA from 1 species